rnacentral:rRNA from 1 species
UCAGGCCUAACACAUGCAAGUCGAGCGGUAGCGGGAAGAGCUUGCUCUUUGCCGACGAGCGGCGGACGGGUGCGUAACACGUAGGAAUCUGCCUGGUAGUGGGGGAUAGCCCGGAGAAAUCCGGAUUAAUACCGCAUACGCCUUACGAGGGAAAGGAGGGGACUCUUCGGAGCCUUUCGCUAUCAGAUGAGCCUGCGUCGGAUUAGCUUGUUGGUGGGGUAAAGGCCUACCAAGGCGACGAUCCGUAGCUGGUCUGAGAGGAUGAUCAGCCACACUGGGACUGAGACACGGCCCAGACUCCUACGGGAGGCAGCAGUGGGGAAUACUGCACAAUGGGCGAAAGCCUGAUGCAGCCAUGCCGCGUGUGUGAAGAAGGCCCUAGGGUUGUAAAGCACUUUCAGUGGGGAGGAAAGGUUGAAGGUUAAUACCCUUCAGCUGUGACGUUACCCACAGAAGAAGCACCGGCUAACUCCGUGCCAGCAGCCGCGGUAAUACGGAGGGUGCGAGCGUUAAUCGGAAUUACUGGGCGUAAAGCGUGCGUAGGCGGCCACCUAAGUUGGAUGUGAAAGCCCCGGGCUUAACCUGGGAACUGCAUCCAAAACUGGGUGGCUAGAGUACGGGAGAGGAGUGUGGAAUUUCCUGUGUAGCGGUGAAAUGCGUAGAUAUAGGAAGGAACACCAGUGGCGAAGGCGACACUCUG